UUAGAGUUUGAUCCUGGCUCAGAAUGAACGUUGGCGGCGUGGAUUAGGCAUGCAAGUCGAGCGCGAACCGGCCUUCGGGCCGGGGAGAGCGGCGAACGGGGUAGGAUCACCUCGGUGACGUACCCCCCGAACGGGGAUAGCGGCGGGAAACUGCCGGUAAUACCCGAUAAUCUGCUUUUGUUUUACGACAGGAGCAGCAAAGGUGAGAUUCCGUCGGGGGAGCGGCUGAGGUCGUAUUAGCUAGUUGGUAAGGUAACGGCUUACCAAGGCGAUGAUGCGUAGGGGGUGUGAGAGCAUGGCCCCCACCACUGGCACUGAGACACUGGCCAGACACCUACGGGUGGCUGCAGUCGAGAAUCUUCGGCAAUGGGCGCAAGCCUGACCGAGCGACGCCGCGUGCGGGAUGAAGGUCUUCGGAUUGUAAACCGCUGUCGGAGGGGAUGAAAUGCAUGGGGGUUCUCCCCCGUGUUUGACAGAGCCUCGGAGGAAGCACGGGCUAAGUUCGUGCCAGCAGCCGCGGUAAUACGAACUGUGCGAACGUUAUUCGGAAUCACUGGGCUUAAAGGGUGCGUAGGCGGCGGCACAAGUCAGGUGUGAAAUCCCCCGGCUCAACCGGGGAACAGCGCUUGAAACUAGGUCGCUUGAGUGAGGCAGGGGUGUAUGGAACUUCCGGUGGAGCGGUGAAAUGUGUAGAGAUCGGAAGGAACGCCGGCGGCGAAAGCGGUACACUGGGCCUUGUCUGACGCUGAGGCACGAAAGCUAGGGGAGCGAACGGGAUUAGAUACCCCGGUAGUCCUAGCCGUAAACGAUGGGCACUGGGUAGGGGGCUCGCCGAUGGGCUCCCUGCCGCAGCGAAAGCGUGAAGUGCCCCGCCUGGGGAGUAUGGUCGCAAGGCUGAAACUCAAAGGAAUUGACGGGGGCUCACACAAGCGGUGGAGCAUGUGGCUCAAUUCGAGGCUACGCGAAGAGCCUUAUCCUGGGCUUGACAUGCACGGAUUAGCCGGCGGAAACGUCGGUGACGCCGCAAGGUGGAACGUGCACAGGUGCUGCAUGGCUGUCGUCAGCUCGUGCCGUGAGGUGUUGGGUUAAGUCCCGUAACGAGCGAAACCCCUGUGGCCAGUUGCCAGCGCGUCAAGGCGGGGACUCUGGCCAGACCGCCGGCGUCAAGCCGGAGGAAGGCGGGGACGACGUCAAGUCAUCAUGGCCCUUAUGCCCAGGGCUGCACACGUGCUACAAUGGGGCGGACAGAGCGUCGCCAGGCCGCAAGGCCGCGCCAAUCGCAAAAACCGCCCCCCAGUUCGGAUUGCGGGCUGCAACCCGCCCGCAUGAAGCCGGAAUCGCUAGUAAUCGCCGAUCAGCACUGCGGCGGUGAAUGUGUUCCUGAGCCUUGUACACACCGCCCGUCAAGCCAC
rnacentral:rRNA from 1 species